CUCCAUGAAUCCUUGGGCCCUGCCGCCUGUGGCAGUCUCCCUUCCUAGCCAUGGAAGAGCAGGAUCUUGCGUAUUGGCAAAGCUGUCACCAUUUAAUUGGUAUCAGGUUCUGACUUGUGCAAGUUACAGCC
ensembl:snoRNA SNORA24B small nucleolar RNA, H/ACA box 24